ACAGACCUCUCUGCAAGUGAACACAGAAGCUUCAGAGAAAUACACAAGUGUGUCAACCACAGAUGCAAAUUCUUGAAGUCACAUAUCCACUUAUCUAACUCUGGGGUAGAUGACAAAAAGUUGGCGUGUUCCUUUAAAUAAAGCAUAGAUUAUGAACUAUACUUUUAUACAAAGAUGUUUUUUGACAUCUAUGGCCUUUGUGUGUGUUAAGCAAUUAAGCUGAAAUAAACCACAACUCUACAGCAUCAAA